GAUGAACGCUGGCGGCGUGCCUAAUACAUGCAAGUCGAGCGAAUGGAUUAAGAGCUUGCUCUUAUGAAGUUAGCGGCGGACGGGUGAGUAACACGUGGGUAACCUGCCCAUAAGACUGGGAUAACUCCGGGAAACCGGGGCUAAUACCGGAUAACAUUUUGAACCGCAUGGUUCGAAAUUGAAAGGCGGCUUCGGCUGUCACUUAUGGAUGGACCCGCGUCGCAUUAGCUAGUUGGUGAGGUAACGGCUCACCAAGGCAACGAUGCGUAGCCGACCUGGGAGGGGGAUCGGCCCAACUGGGACUGAGACACGGCCCAGACUCCUACGGGAGGCAGCAGUAGGGAAUCUUCCGCAAUGGACGAAAGUCUGACGGAGCAACGCCGCGUGAGUGAUGAAGGCUUUCGGGUCGUAAAACUCUGUUGUUAGGGAAGAACAAGUGCUAGUUGAAUAAGCUGGCACCUUGACGGUACCUAACCAGAAAGCCACGGCUAACUACGUGCCAGCCGCCGCCGUAA
rnacentral:rRNA from 1 species